UACGAAGGGGGCUAGCGUUGUUCGGAUUUACUGGGCGUAAAGCGCACGUAGGCGGAUUGUUAAGUCGGGGGUGAAAUCCUGGAGCUCAACUCCAGAACUGCCUUCGAUACUGGCAAUCUCGAGUCCGGAAGAGGUAAGUGGAACUCCUAGGUGUAGAGGUGGAAUUCGUAGAUAUCUGGAGGAACACCGGUGGCGAAGGCGGCAUUCUGGACCGAAACUG
rnacentral:rRNA from 1 species